rnacentral:rRNA from 1 species
AUGAUGCUAUUGAUAUGCAAAGCCACAAGCUUGGGGAAGCUAUGUUUGAUGAAGAUGAUAUUUUUUUGUCCCCCAAGUUUUGAUGAGCAAAUUUGUUAUGAUGAAAUAAUACCUCCUAUUUAUGAUGAUUAUUGUGAUUACUUGUAUGCUAUAAAGAAUAAUGAUAUCCAUGAAACUUGUCAUCUUGAUCUUAAUUUUCAAUCACAUGACAAUUAUUUUGUUGAGUUUGCUCCCACUAUUAUUCAUGAGAAGAAAGUUGCUUGUGUGGAGAGUAGUAAAUUUUCUAUGCUUGUAGAUCAUGAAAAGAAUGCUUUAGGUGCUUUUUAUAUUAUUGAAUUCAUUUAUGACGCUACUGGAGAUUAUUAUGAGGGAGGAACAUAUGCUUGUAGGAAUUGCAAUAAUAUCAAGUUUCCUCUCUAUGUGCUUAAAAUUUUGAAGUUAUGCUUGUUUUACCUUCCUAUGCAAGUUGAUUCUUGUCCCCACAAGUUGUUUUCUCACAAAAUACCUAUGCAUAGGAAGUGGGUUAGACUUAAAUGUGCUAGUCAUAUUCUUCAUGAUGGUCUCUUUAUGUUAUAA